UCGACGGAGAGUUUGAUCCUGGCUCAGGACGAACGCUGGCGGCGGGCCUAACACAUGCAAGUCGAACGCACUCGACCUUCGGGUCACAUGAGUGAGUGGCGAACGGGUGAGUAACACGUGAGGAACCUGCCCCGAAGACUGGAAUAACCCGAGGAAACUCGGGCUAAUACCGGAUAUCCCCACCAGGUCGCAUGGCCAGGUGAGGAAAUGCUCCGGCGCUUCGGGAGGGUCUCGCGGCCUAUCAGCUAGUUGGUGAGGUAACGGCUCACCAAGGCAUCGACGGGUAGCUGGUCUGAGAGGACGAUCAGCCACACUGGGACUGAGACACGGCCCAGACUCCUACGGGAGGCAGCAGUGGGGAAUCUUGCGCAAUGGGCGAAAGCCUGACGCAGCCACGCCGCGUGAGGGAUGAAGGCUUUCGGGUUGUAAACCUCUUUCAGCAGGGACGAAAAUGACGGUACCUGCAGAAGAAGCUCCGGCCAACUACGUGCCAGCAGCCGCGGUAACACGUAGGGAGCAAGCGUUGUCCGGAUUUAUUGGGCGUAAAGAGCUCGUAGGCGGUUCGGUAAGUCGGGUGUGAAAACUUGAGGCUCAACCUCAAGAGGCCACUCGAUACUGCUGUGACUAGAGUCCGGUAGAGGAGUGUGGAAUUCCUGGUGUAGCGGUGAAAUGCGCAGAUAUCAGGAGGAACACCGACAGCGAAGGCAGCACUCUGGGCCGGUACUGACGCUGAGGAGCGAAAGCAUGGGGAGCAAACAGGAUUAGAUACCCUGGUAGUCCAUGCCGUAAACGUUGGGCACUAGGUGUGGGGUCUCGCUAACAGAUUCCGUGCCGCAGCUAACGCAUUAAGUGCCCCGCCUGGGGAGUACGGCCGCAAGGCUAAAACUCAAAGGAAUUGACGGGGGCCCGCACAAGCGGUGGAGCAUGUGGUUUAAUUCGAUGCAACGCGAAGAACCUUACCAGCGCUUGACAUCCCGAUCGCGGGGACCGGAGACGGACCCCUUCAGCUAGGCUGGAUCGGUGACAGGUGCUGCAUGGCUGUCGUCAGCUCGUGUCGUGAGAUGUUGGGUUAAGUCCCGCAACGAGCGCAACCCUUGUCCUAUGUUGCCAGCGGAUAAUGCCGGGGACUCGUAGGAGACUGCCGGGGUCAACUCGGAGGAAGGUGGGGACGACGUCAAGUCAUCAUGCCCCUUAUAUCCAGGGCUGCAAACAUGCUACAAUGGCCGGUACAGAGGGCUGCAAAACCGCGAGGUUGAGCGAAUCCCACAAAGCCGGUCUCAGUUCGGAUUGGAGUCUGCAACUCGACUCCAUGAAGGCGGAGUCGCUAGUAAUCCCGGAUCAGCAACGCCGGGGUGAAUACGUUCCCGGGCCUUGUACACACCGCCCGUCACACCACGAAAGUCAGCAACACCCGAAGUCAGUGGCCUAACUCUUAGGAGAAGGAGCUGCCGAAGGUGGGGUCGGCGAUUGGGGUGAAGUCGUAACAAGGUAGCCGUACCGGAAGGUGCGGCUGGAUCACCUCCUUU
rnacentral:rRNA from 1 species